AGCUAACUUGCUUACUGCUCUGACCCAUUUUACCAUAGCAACCUGGUUUGCUGUACCAGGGGCUAGAAAAAGCACAGAGGUGACUUUUUAAGGUUUCCAAGAUUAAGUUCACUCUCUGCUCUUGAUUUUUUUUCCCCUGAAUGUGCUUAGCAGACAUGACGAAGAAGAACUGACACUUUCCAACAGCACUGGAAGCCAGGAAAAGAUUUAGGCGAGGUCAAUCUAACCUACAUGUUGAACAUAGAAAGCAGCAAGAAAGUAAACUCUAGCACCCAAAACGCAAAAGACUGAACCACCGUUUCUCAGUGAUUUCAGAGACCAAAAAAAUUAUGUCCUGAGGAAUUCUACUUUCUAAAGAUUGGGAAUGAGUGUCAUUUUCUGGACUUCCUGAAGGAUUAUAAGAACUAUCAUAUGUAAAGCGUGAGAUAUUAUGUCCCAUGCUUCCACUGCCAUAUGACUUUCAGCUAUUUCGUGGAUUGAAUGGGAUUCAUUAACCAGACUUGUGGCUGUAAUCACCUCAGUGAAUGGAUCAUUUCUUUAUGGCUCUCUGAGAACACAAUGUUAUUAAUCCUAGGGACUAUUAGAUUACCUCCAAAAUGAAGAACUACCAAAGGUGCAGUUUGCAGAGUCAGUCAGUGCCCUUUUCUUGACUUUCUCUGUAAACUAAAGUGAACCUCUCUUUCUCAGAAUCUACUGAGGGAAUAAACUGUAAACUGCAGAUGAUAAUUUAUGGAUGCUAAUUUUACAGUUCUCACAUACCACAGGCAACAGCUGUAAUCUUCAUUCCUCAGUACAUGUCACCUUUGAUCUGGAACAGUCUUUUAACAAAACCUCCACAUUCCUGCUGAUCUUUAGAAGCCAGUGAGUUUAACUUCGCUGCUUUGCACGUCUGUAUUUAUUAUUCCAAGCACAUUACCCAGGCACCGAAACGCUCUAGUAGGACCCGGAUCUUACAAGUGCAGUAUGCCAUUUCUCUGUCAUAAACUGAUGAAGGAUAGGCAGUUGUCUUGGCUUUUUCUAAACACAUAUUUAUAAUUAGGUAAGUAUGAGUUAGAAACAAAGUGAGAAUGGUUUCAGUAAUUAGAAAAAUGCAGAAAAGACUAGACAGAAGUGGAAAAAGAUGGAAGCAAGCAAAGGAGAAUAUGCCAAGUGGGAGUAAUGAAGCUGACACAAGAGGACUUGCCAGAGAGAGGUGGGAGGGGGUGGAAACACAGGAUUCAAGAGCAUGAGGAGAAAGAUCCUCAACUGGGAAAAGUCAAGCCAGAGUUGGAAAACACCACUAAUGUCUAGUGCCUAUGAAGAUGUGCAGCUGCUUCUGCUUUGGCCGGACCUUCUAUGCAGCUGUUGGCUCUGCCUAGGAAUGUCUUCUGCCCCUCAGACCAUAUGAAACACAUCAAGUUGGGAAGAGAUAGAGCUCUGGCAUGCUCUAUUUCCAUCCCAAAUUGUGCUGUUGCACAGGAUGAAGAGAAGUAUUUAUUGUUUGGAUAGUCAUUUAAAAUAAGUAUGUUUAUAUUUCAGUUUAAUUAAUUAAAGAUUCUCUGAUUAUUUUUCUUCAUGCCAACUGUCUCCAGCUGUGUCUGAAUCUACUCUUCUCCCAACAGUCUUUUCACAGUAGGUACAACUGUAACGGGACAGCUACAUGUAAAAUCACAAGAAAAAACCAGUUUCCUUGGCUAAUAUUCAUCCUCCAGUGGCCCAGGAGAAACUACAAAAAUCAGGGUCAUAUACAAAGCCAGUGCUUCUAGACAGGCAAGGCAAAAUUGUUUAGUGUUUGUUCCAGGCAUUACUAUUUGGGACCUGGCUUAUCCUACCAGAAGAAGAGGAAGUAGUUGGAAAAGGUGUGGAGCUGAAACACAGAGCCUUAAGUGCUGAGUUUGCUUUUGCUGAUGCCUCCAAGAAGAUGGGAGAGAUGGGGACUCUGACCACCAUCGCCCAGUGCAGUAUCUUCACUCUUCCCCAAAAGCAAUUCUGCUUUUGCUUAGAAGCCAGUGAUGCAGAGCUCCGUUGAGCAGGGUUAGGUCACUGCAAACACUCCAGCAAUGUUUGGAUUAAGUUUCAAUAAAACAUCCCUCUCUUAAAAUCUCUCUGAUCUUUGUCUAAUAGGUGCAACACCAGCUAAGGCAGCUCUACUGGUCCAUCAAACUGAUUAAGAGAAGGGUGGGUUGGGAUUCUCAAAGGCAAGAUAAGAUGGAAAGUGAAAGUGAAGUGAAAAGAAGAAUGGAAAUAUCAAACCAGGUUUUGUGGCAUGCAGUGAAAGGAAGGAAAGAGGGUUUUUUUCCUGGGGUCAAGGUGGAGUUGAUGGAGAAAAUGCAAAUGAAUUUAACUAUUCGAGCAUCUCUGCUCACUAAUUAGUCUCUCCUGGGUUGCAUACUAUUCCAGACACAACAGCACUAUCUGACUGAACUGCUAAAUACUGAAUACCUGUGAAAAAUGAGACAUGGCAUCCCAUUAGAAAGAAGACCCAUUUUCCCAGAGUUGCACCAUAUUAUUCACAGGAUUGUAAACUGCCAACAUAAUGGGCUUUACACUUUAUCUUUUUCAUUACAGGAAAUUAUCUAUGGGCAAGCUAAUGUUUCUGAUUUUGCAGGUGAAGGAUAUGAUACUAUUUGAAGCUUUUCAGAGCUUGUGUAUGUGGUCCUUGUAUGGAAAUAGAUGUAGAUAGUUUUCCCUUUAUAAUUCUGUAAAUGUAACAUAAUAAACAGUCUGGUUGAAUAUGA